GAAAGAUUUGGCGGUUAAUCCUGAGGAGAUUUCGGCGGGCACAGUUCUCAAGAGGAAUUAUCUUCAGCUGCAAACUGAAAUUCUGAGCUGCUGCAUGAACAUUCAUCAAACUUAUAAGGCUGCAAUUUGGAAAAAACUUUCAAGCCAAUGCUGCUGAAAUAGAGGUCAAGGGGACUGAAGAGGUGGCUCCAGCUGAUCAAAAGGGUGGACUUCAGGAGGCAGACACACUCUGUUACAGUAAUCAGCUGAUCCAGCCGUAUCCAGACCAGACGGUGGACCUGCACCCAGGAACGACCACAACACAUCCCUGACUGUCAGCGGAGACCGUGUCAGCUGGAUGACAGAUCCUCUGUGAAGACCUCAUUGAUGGCCCCAGCACAGAUCCUCAGCAAAGACUACGAG